AUUGAACGCUGGCGGCAUGCCUUACACAUGCAAGUCGAACGGCAGCACGGGUGCUUGCACCUGGUGGCGAGUGGCGAACGGGUGAGUAAUACAUCGGAACGUACCUUAUCGUGGGGGAUAACGCAGCGAAAGUCGCGCUAAUACCGCAUACGCCCUGAGGGGGAAAGCGGGGGACCGUAAGGCCUCGCGCGAUUAGAGCGUGCGAUGUCUGAUUAGCUGGUUGGUGAGGUAAAAGCACACCAAGGCGAUGAUCAGUAGCUGGUCUGAGAGGACGAUCAGCCACACUGGGACUGAGACACGGCCCAGACUCCUACGGGAGGCAGCAGUGGGGAAUUUUGGACAAUGGGGGCAACCCUGAUCCAGCAAUGCCGCGUGAGUGAAGAAGGCCUUCGGGUUGUAAAGCUCUUUUGUCAGGGAAGAAACAGCAGCUCUAACACAGUCUGCGAAUGACGGUACCUGAAGAAUAAGCACCGGCUAACUACGUGCCAGCCGCCGCCGUAA
rnacentral:rRNA from 1 species